rnacentral:rRNA from 1 species
CCUACGGGAGGCUGUAGUCGAGAAUCAUUCACAAUGGGGGAAACCCUGAUGGUGCGACGCCGCGUGGGGAAUGAAGGUCUUCGGAUUGUAAACCCCUGUCAUGUGGGAGCAAAUUAAAAAGAUAGUACCACAAGAGGAAGAGACGGCUAACUCUGGGCCAGCAGCCGCGGUAUUACAGAGGGCUAAAGCGUUGUUCGGAAUCACUGGGCGUAAAGCGUGCGUAGGCUGGUUUGUAAGUCGUGUGUGAAAGGCGCGGGCUCAACCCCCGGACGGCACAUGAUACUGCGUGACUUGAGUAAUGGAGAGGGAAGCGGAAUUCUCAGUGUAGCAGUGAAAUGCGUAGAUAUCGAGAGGAACACUCGUGGCGAAGGCGGGUUCCUGGACAUUAACUGACGCUGAGGCACGAAGGCCAGGGGAGCGAAAGGGAUUAGAUACCCCUGUAGUC